AACGGAGAAAUAUUGCUCAUCUGCCGAACCAAACCAUACGCUCGGAUCCAGCAGAAAUUCACACACCUGGUUCUGACACUACAGAAUGAAGGUCCCGCUUUACAGAGCAUUUUUUUUCAUCGCGUGGGCGCACUUCGCCUCUUGCAAAACACCGUGCAAGAAUUCCUGCCUACGGGAGUGGUGCCCAGCGCUUAGGGAUACAGCAACCAACGAAGCAAUUAGUGCUGCCGCUGUUGAUCCGGAGAUUCUGGCGGUUUUUGAGGAGACUUUCCAGGAAACGUGUGCACAAGCUUGGUGCCCUGCAUUCCAUAUUCCUUGCUGGAACAGGUGGCUUCAAGGUGCGGUUCAGGAUCCAGAACUGCUAACCACUGAGGCGACCACUGAGGCUACAACGACACCCCAAGAAACGAAAAGCCCAAAGAGAGAAGAACCAGGAAAAGAAGAAAAUGAAGGACACGAUGUUUCGCACGCAUUAGACUAUGGAAAAGCGGGGUUUUAUCUCGGCUGCAGAGAUGCUAAAGGCAACCCUUACGCAGACGGAAAGGGUUGUGUGCUACACAUCUAUGGUAACCGUCGCGAUAAGCAUACAACGCUGCUUCGUAGCUGCAUAGUUGGAAAGUGCAAGAACGGAAGAUGCAUACAUGAUGGUGGCGCCAAUUGCGGUAUAUACUAGGAUACCCUGCCGAACGGCUGACAAUAAAAUAUUUU